rnacentral:lncRNA from 1 species
GUUCCGAAUGAAACAUUUUUACUUCAAUUUGCUUUCAAGCAGAUAUUCCGAUUUCCAUGACCCAUUUACUUCAAUGAAUUGACAUUUCUUCAUUUCAGUAUCAAAUGCUUUGGCUUGGUUUUAGUAAUAAUGUAAAAGCAGUUCUAACCCGCGGUGUCAGUAUUUCAAGAUAUUUUUCAAAUGUAUAACUACGUGUUCACUCAUGAAACAGCUAUUUCCAUAAACAUAUAAUUCAUAAACAUACACUUUUUCACAUUUGGAAUAUGAUCCACACGUGAUCAGUUGCCACUCGGAAUCAUAACUUCCGACUAUUAAGGUUAGGUCCGAAAAAAUCAAUGGAAUAUUUGAUUUUUUAAGUCUAUACGGUACUACAUUACAUAUUAUUCUCGCCUCUGGAAAUAGUUUUAUGCAUGUAUCAUUAGAUUGAAAAACAUCUUCCAUAUCCGCCGGGGACAUUAUACG